rnacentral:rRNA from 1 species
AGUGAACGCUGGCGGUAGGCCUAACACAUGCAAGUCGAGCGGCAGCACGGUAAGAGCUUGCUCUUACGGGUGGCGAGUGGCGGACGGGUGAGGAAUACAUCGGAAUCUACUUUUUCGUGGGGGAUAACGUAGGGAAACUUACGCUAAUACCGCAUACGACCUACGGGUGAAAGCAGGGGAUCUUCGGACCUUGCGCGAUUGAAUGAGCCGAUGUCGGAUUAGCUAGUUGGCGGGGUAAAGGCCCACCAAGGCGACGAUCCGUAGCUGGUCUGAGAGGAUGAUCAGCCACACUGGAACUGAGACACGGUCCAGACUCCUACGGGAGGCAGCAGUGGGGAAUAUUGGACAAUGGGCGCAAGCCUGAUCCAGCCAUACCGCGUGGGUGAAGAAGGCCUUCGGGUUGUAAAGCCCUUUUGUUGGGAAAGAAAAGCAGCAGGUUAAUACCCCGCUGUUCUGACGGUACCCAAAGAAUAAGCACCGGCUAACUUCGUG